UACGGAAGGGGCAAGCGUUGUUCGGAAUCAUUGGGCGUAAAGGGCGCGUAGGUGGUUCUGUAUGUCUACCGUGAAAGCGUACGGCUCAACCGUAUUUUGUCGGUAGAAACUGCAGGACUUGAGGCUGGGGAGGGGCUGGUGGAAUUCCCUGUGUAGCGGUGAAAUGCGUAGAGAUGGGGGAGAACACUCGUGGCGAAGGCGGCCAGCUAGACCAGUUCUGACACUGAGGCGCGACAGCGUGGGGAGCAAACAGGAUUAGAUACCCCCGAGUAGCCAC
rnacentral:rRNA from 1 species